rnacentral:rRNA from 1 species
UAUUGGUCAAUGGCCCAACGGCUGAACCAGCAAUUUGGGAGAAUGGAGGUAUAUAUCUAAUGAUGCAUAUAUACAAAUCGACUAUGUCGUAUAAAGUUCUAAAUAGAUAAUUGAUUAUGACAGAUUUCUAUUUAUGUGUCUCGACCAAUUCUUGUGCCAGCAGUCGCGGCAACACAAGUGAGACUAGUGUUAUUCAUCUUUAUUAGGUUUAAAGGGUACCUAGACGGUUUUUUUUAGCGUGAAAAAUGUACAAAAAAAACUAGAGUUUUAUAUGAGAGGUAAAUAUUAGGACUAUUGGUGUAGAGAUGAAAUUUUUUGAUACUAAUUGGAUGUAUAAUGGCGAAGGCGAUCCUCUAUUUAUAAACUGACGUUAAGGGACGAAGGCUUGGGGAGCGAAUAGGAUUAGAUACCCUAGUAGUCCAGGCAGAAAAUUAUGAAUGUUAUAGACUAACUAUAUAAUUAGUGUAUAAAUGAAAGUGUAAGCAUUCCACCUCAAGAGUAAUGUGGCAACGCAGGAACUGAAAUCAUUAGACCGUUUGUGAAACCAGUAGUGAAGUAUGUUAUUUA